rnacentral:guide_RNA from 1 species
AAAUAUACAACGGGAUGAAGACAUAGAGAAAA